rnacentral:lncRNA from 1 species
CGCUGAUUGUGCCAUCACAAAAAGUGCUGCUCUCACACUCGGGGGUAAACCGAAGGUGGCGCCACCAAUGCUGCCUUCUGUUGAAAACCUCUUUCCAGCCCAGGUUUGCAUCUAAGAGAGGGGGGUUCAGAAUUUCCGUUGCCAGGGAAACGGCGCUUUAGUCGGCUGAAUGGAACCCCGCUCUGCUGUGCGGUGACUUAAGUCUUGAAGGAAUCGCGUCUGUAUUGAGCGCUGCGAUGGCGGGCCGGGCCGGGUCUCCCAGGACUGCCUCCCAACGCUUUCUGUCUGAAUCAAAAGUUCGGUGCCCUUGAGUCCCAGAUACAUCAAGUGUCCGAUUAUGCAAGCGGGCUCUGUUGUGUGACGUCUGGAGGACCACAGGGACGGUCCAUCCCUCCUCAUCCUCCUCUCCUCAUCAUGUCAGAUCCCCAGACCCUGAUGAGCGCUGGAGCAUCUUAAUCAGCAGUUUAAGGGGAAAAAAAACCCAAAACAUCCCCCCCCCCCAGCUGACAAUGAAGGGCGAUGAAGACAGCUGCUCUACCUGCAGCCGUGUGACUGGACCCGUUUGAGCCCGUAUUUACAUUUCAGUCGAUAGAGUGUUCGCUCAGCUGUUUGACUGACCUUGUAACG